UAUGAAUAAACUGAGCAAAAGCUUUUACUUUACUCAAAUCCACCUGUCAAAUCAUUUUCUUGAGCAUUUACUCAAGUUGGUAUGAUAAAACUGAGCAUUUGAGCAUUUACUUUUCGAACAUCCAGAUUCGUAUGAAUAGGUCAUAUGAAUAAAACCGAGUACUUGCUCAUGCUCAACCCGAUUCGAGCAAAGUAAAAUCUCUGAGCAUUUACUUGAAACCGUAUGAAUAAAACGAUACUUUGCUCAGAGUAAGUUCGAAUUUCGAACUUAGCUUUUACUCUGUCAAAAAAUGUUGUUUAUGUUUUGGCUAGCUGAUUUUUGCGAGGGAGCAAAAUCCGAGUGGUGCAAAAAGUAUGGCUUUUGCAGAUCUUAACUGCAUUUUGCCGAUUGCUGGAACCUCACAACACCCGGAAAAGCCCAACCAGGAGUAAUUUGAAAAACCCUGUGCUACCUGCAAGGACUAAAAUCGGGCUGAUAAAGUUGCAGCCGAUCCGUCUACAACACCCAUACGGUGGACAGAUAGCUAUGGAGCCAGCGGAAUUCCUGCAAAAGUAUAAACGGAAAUGCAACAAACGACAACUUCGAUUAGAGUCGGAUUACGAUAAGCAACAUCACCAGAAGCAGUAACAUAAGGAUAAAUAAAUUCCUUUCAGCAGAAUGGACCCACCGAAUACCCAACGAGAUGCCAUAAGGAAAAAUUGAUCAAACUGGCGAAAUCUAUCGCGGACAAUUCAGUUGCCAUGAGUUGGUUCAACAUGCCACGGGUAACCGGAUCGGCAAUCAGCUGCAACUAACGCCAGUGCGAUGAGCAAACAGGUACUCAAAUGAAGAGACUGUCGGUGUGUAAAUACUAAGGCCAUCCCUUUGCCGAUGCAAACAUAAAUAAACUAAGCUACGAAACUAAAAA